AUUUGUAAACAACCAGUCCUUUAACUAAGCGCUACGUCAUAAACACGGCGCGCUUGGAAGACCACGAUGUCAUCUUCCUUCUGUCAGGAGGAUCCCAGUGAAGCUACAGGAGUUUCAUUAACGUCAACAACUUGGACCAAACAGUUUGUUUUGCUUGAUGAAGAGCAGGAAGGGCAGCCUGGAGAGAAAGAGAAGCCGGGUUGAGCCCACUACCAUCAUCCACGUACCACGAGGAAGAUGAGGGAGAGAAAUGAUCCUACCAUUAAAGAGACUGUGAAAAGAACGUUGAGAACAUCACCACUCUACAGGAAGACACAGUCCAGUAAUGGGUGUCAGAAGUUCAGUAGUGAACGACAGAAACAAACAAUCCAAAUUACCUGCAGAAAGCCCUUGAUGGACGCUUCAGCUGCAUCGUCAGACUGGCAGUACUGAGUCAUUUACUGAGAGGGGACGUGAGGGCCUACUCUGCGUGCUCAGAGUUCAAGCCCAGCAGGCUGCAGCGGGCCUGACAUAUUCUGGAACAGCAGCACAGUCUUUGGAUGACUCCUCUGAAGAUGAAAACAUGGCGAGUUCUUCUCAAGAGAAGCAGUACAGGUGUGCCUCAGCUCCACGGUCCCUCCUGCAGCCUCCGCUCCUGAUGCUAACCUCAUGUCUCCAUCACACCAAGCAGCAGACCUGGAUUGACAGACCUUUCUCCAGAGCUGCCCCCUCCCUCUGAAACCCCCCUCUCCAAAACACUAUUUGUGUAGUUUUUAAAGUCUUAUUUGC